UGAUUGGAUAUUGUAACGCAUUGUAGA
rnacentral:sRNA from 1 species